UAGCUCCUUCAAACCCUAAUUGUG
rnacentral:misc_RNA from 1 species